CAUCCUUAAUUGUCUGAUGAAUGUAUGCAAUGCAUUCAGCCUGAAUUUUUGAGAGUUGAAGUUACAUUUUACCAAGCCACAGCAUUCUGUUUUAUGAAGCAGGAACUAUGCAAAGGACCAGAUAUUUUUUCCUUGAAAAAAAUUGCUCAAUUGUCAGAUUUAAUCUGAUGAUUUUAUUGUAUUGCCUGGAUUGGAAUGUACAUUGAACAUUCAAAAGGUUGCCAGAUACAGCACUGAGAGUGAAUGAAAAUGCUGUGCCUAUUCAGAACUCAAUACCUGGCCAUGCCAACCCAAAUAUUGGUCCUUGACAAGCCAGAGGUCUAGAAAACUUGACACAGUAAUUCAUAUUGGGAAGUUCUUCAUGACUGCUGCUGCAAUGAAAAGCAUCUCCUAUUUUUUCCAGGUAUCUUCCUGAUGCCUUAAGUUUAACUUUUACAUUUUUUUCUAUCCUGUACUGCAUUAGUGUAUAACUGAACUCCAUACAGAGUGUUAGUAAGCUCUCAUCACAGUUUGACAAGACAAAACAAUCCUUCCGGGCCUGAGAACCAGGGUGAUCACCACAGCCUCAGGCCCCAAAAAUAUAAACAAAAGUGAAUUGGGGCGAGCAAACUGGGGGAAUGUGACUUCAUUACCUGAAGUUGUAAUUGGACAAUUAACCCCUGAUAUGCAAAUAGACUACACUCGUAUCUGCCCAAAAAACUCAUGAUGGUCAUCCAUCUUGGGUAUAGCCUCUGUGGGGCUCCUGAACUGCCCAAGGUGUGUUUGUUAAAGGCCUUUAACAAAUGCUCACUUUAUUCUCUAACUCUGUCUUGCCUCUGUUAUAGGUAGCCAGUCCAAAUCAUCACUCUAAUGACCCACACAGUUUUGGGGGGGGUUACAGUGGUCUGUUUGUGAAGUUCUUGAGGAGAUGAAACACAUUUGGCAGUGUUAUUGAUCUUGGUCUAACCGUCUAUGUUAUUGAUGUUAUAUCAUACACUAACCAAAUAUAUUUGUAUCUUUUCAGAUUUGCUUUCUUAAGGUUUCUCUUUGUGGAUCCCCAAUGUGAUCUUUCAACUCAAGAAAUGACAGGAAUCAAGAGCUUGAGCUGAAUUAGGGCCUAUAGUUAGGUCUAGGGGUUCUGAGAGGAAGAGUACUUUUGCUUCUCUGGAACUCCUCAGAUAUCUUUAGGUUGUCUUUGUGUGCAAUACCAAGAAGAUAGUAAGAAUACAUUAAUUUUAUCAUAGGUGGACAGUAGGAAAAUGCUCAGCUUCCUUCAAGCCUUUUCCCACAUCCAGGGUAGCAUCCCUUAGAUAAAUGCACCUUGUCCUCUUAAAACCUUGUAAAGUUAAAGACCACAUGGCUACCCAGUUUCUGAACUAAGGUUGUUUGUUUCCAGACAGAAUGUAAGUCAGGAAAUCUCAAAAGAGUUGCUAUCUCAAAAGAGAAAACAUAUCAAUCAGCAUAUGUACAGGCAGUGAAGUUCAGUUUCCCUUUGGGCAUAGAGAUGAUCGGACAUCUAGGAAGGCCCCAACAUGAAGGAGAAAUAGACAAAUUUUAAAAUUUUGUCCAGAAGUCUCAGAAUUAAUCCAAUUUCUAGGAAACCUGUCUCUGUUUCCCUCAGUAAUUUCAUUAAGAAUUCAUUUGCCUAAUGUCAGUGAUUUUGUUGCCAUAGCCACUGUAAAAAAACCUGGAACUUCUUUUCUUUUUGUAGCUUUAGCUUGCGGGGAAAAGUUUGAGUUUCUAGUUGCUGGAAUCAGUAGGAAACCUUCUGUUACGCACAAGUUUUUCUUCUGUGUAAGGUAACAUGGGCAGCUGCUGGCUAUGACCACAAUACUUUUUGUCUGACAGUGAACUAUUUCUCUCCCACUUGAGUUCUUUUUGCUGCUGUUGUAAAGUGAAAACACAACUACUGUAGGGUGAGUUUGUUUAACAGUCUUCUAAAAAAUUACAAAUGAAUUGACAGAGUGGCAGGAAGAGGCUAAAAAUUAUUUAAGAAACCAAAGGAUAAUACACAGAGCAGGUUAGAAAAAUAUUUUGAAGACGCUCUUGAACUGAAUUCACAGACAUAACGUCUUGCCUGGGUGAUGAUACCUAAAAUGUGUCUAAGAUUUGGGCCAUGUAGAGCAACCUCAUAAAAAACUCUAAGCUCUCUAAUUGAGGAAGUAACUUGGAGAACAGGUGUCUGAGAUCUGCAGGCAAUGCUGUCUACGGGAGUUUGACGUCAAAGUUUGCCCAGUUUGUGUGCAUCAUAUAUGCAGAAUUUUUUAAGAAGUGGGUUAGAACCUUUCCUGUCUUUGCAGUGCCCAAGGGAUUUGCAUAUAUUCACGCUUCUAUAAAAACACCAAAGUAUUUCCUUAUAGUUAACUGGGUAGAAUUUGCACAACCUUAGAACUAAAUGCCAGUGCAUGCAUUUACUUUCAAAAAAAAGAGGACACUAAAAGAAAAAUAAAAUAACAUAAAAAAGAAAAUCAUAUCACAUAUUAAAGGUUAUGCAAAGCCUGAAAUAAGAGACAAAAAUAUCUACUGCUUAAUGCAGAACUUACAUCUUACAUGUUUAGGAAAGAACAAUUUUGACUUCUAUUGAAUCUGUCUGUCAUGUCUUAACUAACAAAACUAUGGUUUUUUUGUACUUUCUUUGUUCUUCAGAACAUUUUCUUGCUACAGUACUUUCUAUGCUCGGUCUAAGCCACCAUAAUAGAUUUUUUGCUCUGGUCUGACGGGAAAAUCAGGAAUUGUCACAAGACUGUAAAGCCCAUAGCCAAGAAAAUUAUCAGUGUACAGACUAUGUCAAGAACAACACAAGCAAAGGUUUCUUUCUAUUUCCUGGCAGAAUGUGCUUUUGUCACUUUCCUGCAUGGAGCCACUUUGUUACGACUAUUAAGAAACAUUGCAUGGGAUGCAGAAGUUGUAAAACAGAUGAAAUGGAAUAGUUCUGUAGAAGCCAGAUGUAUUUGUAGAGACAUUCCAAGUCCUAAAUACCAAUCUUCUAUCUGGCAAAAGUCAUUUAUGUGUGUAUAUGGUUCAAAGAAAAGAUAUUGACAAAACAAAAAUACUGGUAAUUUUAUAGUAUUACAUACACAGUUCAUGUGAGACAACGAAAUAAUUUUCUGCUCUCACUUUUACUUAAGAUACUAAAAUUCUCCUCAGGGCAAAGGCGAUCAUUUUUUGUCCUCCUGCUUCUGAUUCAGGGACAAUCAUAUAUAGAACAUGUUCUGACAGGGCAGUUCCAGGGACUGGGAAGAAUAUUUGAUGUUGAAACCAAUACUUAUCUGUUCAAACACAUCACCAUCAUUUGGCUUCUGUUUUCCACUGAAUUAGAAGGGUUUGCAGUGCUUAGAUUGGGCCAGGUGCUGUUGUGGUUUAACCUUAACUGCCACUCAGCCCUGCACAUCCACUCCUCACUCUCCCUUGGUGGGAUGAAGAGAACUAGAAGAGUAAAAGAAAGUAAAGUCAUGAACUGAGAUAGGGAAAGUGAAAGCCAUGCAUGAAAGCAAAGAAAAAUGAAGCAAGUAAAUUGCUUGGGGAGACAGAGCACCAUAACCCCUUCCUCUAGAUUUAUAUGCUGAGCAUGACAUCAUACAGUAUGAGAUCAGCUAACCUGACUACGUCUCUUCCCAAUUUCUUGUGCAUCUGCAGCACCCUGCUGAUGGAGUGGUGUGAGUAGCAAAAAAGGCCUUGGCAUUGUGCAAGCGCUGCUAAGCAGUAAUGAAAACAUCCCUGAAAUAUCAACAGUUUUCAGCACAAUUCCAGAAUGCAGCCCCAUACCAGCCGCUCUGAAGAAAAUUAACUUUAUCCCAGCCCAACCAGCACAAAGACUUCCUUAGUUCUCUUCUACAACAUCUGAGGCAGAAAGAAAACAUAACCUUCUUGUAUCUUUUCUCCUUCAAAAGCAAUAAAUGUCUUGAAUACAGUAUUGCAUUUCCCAAAAGAUUAUCCAUGAGUAUUUAGAAAAAAAUGCCGUGCUUCUUCUAAUACCCAAUUUAUGUCUUUUUUAUGUGUAGUUUACUUGCUCAACAGUUAAUACUUGGACAUUUGGUGCUCAUGAGCAACUGCUUAUCACUGUUAUGUCAGAGAGAGACUGUCACUGUAUAGUGUGAAAUUCUUUUUCCACUGACUUAGCAAAAACUUUUAUCAAUUCUUGAAGUAGAUCCAAACUUCACCUAUGUGUCUUGCACCUCAGAUAAAUUUUGCAUUUUCAUUGAGGAAGCUUACAUACAGAAUAUCUAGAUGUUUCAGUCAUCCCUGAAUCUCCUUUCCAGAUUAAAACCAAAUUCUCCUUACUUUUGCAUGACAUAUUUUAAAUGAGGAAGUACUCAAGGAAGAGACCAGUUAUAUGUCAUGCUGAGAAGGUCUGUACUAAGCUGUUACACUUCCAAAAUGUCUUGAUUUUCUAGGACAUCGUUGAACUAAAUAUAAACUGCCCCAGAACAUCUGUGUGAGAAGAAUAAUAAUACAUUGCACACAGCAGUAGUCUUGCUGGGAUGAAUUUUGAGCAGCAAUGCAGGGGAGAGGUCUGGUCCAGCAUGGACUGAAAACCUACAUUCUGAUGGUCCUGUAUAUGUUCAUUUUCCAGAAAUCUUUUUCUGUGAUCAAACAUGUGCAAGUUACCUUAAUCUAUACAGUCCUUUAAGUCAUCUGGGUCUUAUCUUUCUCAUGCAUUUUCCAUUACCAGAAUCAAUGCUUUCCUUUUGGUAUUUUUGAUUUCAUGAAUGAGUAGAAAAUUAUUCUUCUCUGACAAGUCGAAGUUAUUGCAUUAUUUAUGGCAAUUUUUCUUUCCCAUCACUUUUCUUAAGACAGUUCAUUUCAGAGCCCAUUUCAUACUUUUUUUGGUAAUGCACAUGAGAUGCUUUCUGUAUACUAUAAUUUUACUUUUAUUUCAGAUAAAUAUGGGUGGGUUUUUUGAUUUGGGUUUUUUUUUUGUGCUUCUAGCCAUAGAACAGUAACACAAAACCAAGAGGAACUGAUAAAUCACUAGUGUAUUAUUAGAAUAAGGAAAUAAUUUUUGAAUUGUAGCAAAUUUUUGAUGCAUUGUGUUCUACUUUAAGCCCUUUAAUUGUCUAUGUGUAUACACCUAUAUUUAAUUUUAUUCAGAUAAAUUUUUGGUAUGCAGUGUAAGGCUGCAUGGGUAUCUUUGGAGAACAUUCUUACUACCUGAAUGAGUGCCUCUUAAAGAUUAGCUCAGCUGGUUAAAGCCUGAAGGUAAAUACUCCAGAUUUUGGGUUCAAUUCCUGUAUUGGCCUUUCAUUUAAUGAUCCUCAUGGAUCCCUUCAACUAACACUAUUCUGUGAUUCUUGUAUUAAGACCAAACUUUAAUAAUUGCUGCAUAUUAAAUUUUCUGUUCUUACUCUGUAGUGCAUACUUAGAAUGGCCAUUAUUUGUGUGAUUCCUGAAUCUUUCAUAUUUAAGUGAGGAAUUUAUCCUGCUGCCUCAUAACCCCUUGUGAAUGCUAUGUUCCAUAAAAAUUUCCAUACUCUCCUCAGUGUAAAUAUAGCCUUAAUUCUAGUGCUGCUUGAAAACAAGGCAAAUGGGAUUUUUUUUUUGAUGUCUUACUCACAUAUGAUAAAUUCCUCUGCAGCUUCUGUGAGAAUAUAACUUCCGUUGUGCAAUUGAAUGUGUGUGCUACUGCACAGAUGAUACAAAUGUAUUGGACAUCUGUUUCAUGAACAAUGUCUUGUGCUUGACAGAAUGCGAUAUUAUGGAUGUAUUCCUUCAAAUAGCUUCAAAGCAAAAAUAAA